CCCUCCCAGAUGAAAGAAAAACAAUCUCAUGUUCUGUAGUGAUCACAAAACUUACAGUUAUAGAGCUUAGAGCACUUGACGAAGAAUCAUAGAUGGAUUGGACUCCCCUGUAGCUGAUCUGCUGCUUCUGUUAAAGUGCUCUUAGGGUUUCUCCUUCUCAUCAAGUGAUACUGGUAGUUGUUGGGAAACAAUAACUGAGUCCUGGCUUGAUUUAGGUGAGUACUCAGAAGAGAUGGAAAAAGUAUCUUUUAUAUGUUCAUGUGCUUUGGACUCUAUUAAUAACGGAGGAUCAGUCCUUAUUUCUAUUGGACGGCCUGGAAUCAUGUGAAGCUAUUGAAACAUGUAUCACUUUCGCUAGAAUCUUCAAAUUUGAAGGUUCCUAUAUAUUUUGUUUGUUCAGCGGCAGAAGAGUUACUGGCAUUUCCAAUAUCAUACCUGAAUGGUUGUCCAGUCAAUGUCAAGAAAGAGUACUACAUUAACUGAUCCUUUUGCUGUUAAAAUAGAAAGUUGAGCAAGAAGAUAUAAUCCAUUUCUUAUUGUUUAUGUGUGGAUCCAUAGCUCAAUUCUGGGCAACCUCUAUUCACUAAUAUUCAGUUGUCAAAGGAGAAAAAGCUCUUGGUAUCUCCUGCAAUUCGUUCAUCAAAAUUCCUGUAAGAUAUAUUCAGUCUCCUCAUGUCAAAAUAUAAGCUACAAAACAUGAGCAUAGUAACCUGCUUAAUAACCUUAUUGUAUAUGCUAUUUUUUUCUUUGUUAUACUCUUUCUAUCCUUUUACAUCUUUUGACUUCACUGUUAGCCUGAUAAUUGUGCUUUUGUUUUAUGCUUUCACCAUAAAACAGUUUGCAUACGAUUAAUUAUGUAUAUAUUCUUUAUAGAUAUGUUAUGUUAGUGAGAAAUAUAAAGGCAUAGAGCUGAUGAAGAAAGAUAUGAGCAUAUGUUACCUUUGCUAUUGCAGUAAACAAAAAGGAUAUGGCUCGUUCUUCUAGACCUGUUUAAGAAGUGCAAACCUUCUUAUUUAAUGCGCUUUGUGACAACCACUUUGCAAUAUUUAGUUGUGAUUGUAUUGUGAAGUUGUCUUAUGAAAUAAAAUAUUUCUGAAGACGUUAUUCUUAAUUCUAUUACUUGGAGUAAUGACGUGACAGAGUUGAAAAAGAAGCAUGAUGCUGAUGCUUUGCAGGCUCAAUCGACAUUAAUGUCAAAUGCUAAUGCAUUAACUGAAACAUGAUCUUCUCCUAUUAGUUUGAGUAUUCAUGCUAUUAAUACAGGUGGU